rnacentral:rRNA from 1 species
GACGAACGCUGGCGGCGUGCCUAAUACAUGCAAGUAGAACGCUGAAGACUUUAGCUUGCUAAAGUUGGAAGAGUUGCGAACGGGUGAGUAACGCGUAGGUAACCUGCCUACUAGCGGGGGAUAACUAUUGGAAACGAUAGCUAAUACCGCAUAACAGCAUUUAACCCAUGUUAGAUGCUUGAAAGGAGCAAUUGCUUCACUAGUAGAUGGACCUGCGUUGUAUUAGCUAGUUGGUGAGGUAACGGCUCACCAAGGCGACGAUACAUAGCCGACCUGAGAGGGUGAUCGGCCACACUGGGACUGAGACACGGUCCAGACUCCUACGGGAGGCAGCAGUAGGGAAUCUUCGGCAAUGGGGGCAACCCUGACCGAGCAACGCCGCGUGAGUGAAGAAGGUUUUCGGAUCGUAAAGCUCUGUUGUAAGAGAAGAACGUGUGUGAGAGUGGAAAGUUCACACAGUGACGGUAACUUACCAGAAAGGGACGGCUAACUACGUGCCAGCAGCCGCGGUAAUACGUAGGUCCCGAGCGUUGUCCGGAUUUAUUGGGCGUAAAGCGAGCGCAGGCGGUUUAAUAAGUCUGAAGUUAAAGGCAGUGGCUUAACCAUUGUUC